rnacentral:rRNA from 1 species
GAUGAACGCUGGCGGCGUGCCUAAUACAUGCAAGUCGAGCGAACAGAUGAGGAGCUUGCUCCUCUGACGUUAGCGGCGGACGGGUGAGUAACACGUGGAUAACCUACCUAUAAGACUGGGAUAACUUCGGGAAACCGGAGCUAAUACCGGAUAAUAUAUUGAACCGCAUGGUUCAAUAGUGAAAGACGGUUUUGCUGUCACUUAUAGAUGGAUCCGCGCCGCAUUAGCUAGUUGGUAAGGUAACGGCUUACCAAGGCAACGAUGCGUAGCCGACCUGAGAGGGGGAUCGGCCAAACUGGAACUGAGACACGGUCCAGACUCCUACGGGAGGCAGCAGUAGGGAAUCUUCGGAAAUGGGCGAAAGCCUGACGGAGCAACGCGGCGGAAGUGAUGAAGGUCUUCGAAUCGUAAAACUCUGUUAUUAGGGAAGAACAAAUGUGUAAGUAACUAUGCACGUCUUGACGGUACCUAAUCAGAAAGCAACGGCUAACUACGU